GACAGAGGUGGCAAGCGUUGCUCGGAUUCACUGGGCUUAAAGGGCGCGUAGGCGGCUUUGUAAGUCCGAGGUGGAAUUCCACAGCUUAACUGUGGAACUGCCUUGGAAACUGCAAGGCUUGAGUCAGGUAGAGGGAGGCGGAAUUCCCGGUGUAGCGGUGAAAUGCGUAGAUAUCGGGAGGAAGGCCGGUGGCGAAGGCGGCCCCCUGGGCCUGUACUGACGCUCAUGCACGAAAGCGUGGGGAGCAAACAGG
rnacentral:rRNA from 1 species